CCCUGAGGGGUGUUCCGUUCCUUCUCUGAUCCCUGGUAACUGGGAGCAAAGUGGCCAUGUGCAGAUUCUCAACCUUCUGUGCAGAGGAGGAGCUGUGAUGUGGGAGAGGGGUAUUUCUACUUUUGGUAUUUAUCUAAGGAGAUUUUCCUUCUGAAGGAUGACAACAUUUUCCCCUCCUCUAUCCCAGAUUGGAAAAUCUGAUGGCACGAUUCCAGUGCUACCAAACUCUCAGAAUUGGCCUAAAGAAAGUGGAAGUGAGAAACACACAGGCCGGUCAGAGGCACACAGCUGCCUUCUCUCCCAGCUGACUUUGGGCAACCACACAAGGCAAAGCCAGAGGAACCAAGAAAGGUAGGGACGCAGGGCCCCAGCAGUUGUGGGUCUCUGCGAGCUGUAGGGGAUGUGCAAACAGAUGGAGGUCAGUCUAUCAGGCACUGAGAACAACGUCCCCAAGUGUCCCUUUCCUUGUCUCUGUCUCCUGUCCCGAGAAAAUCACCUCCAGCCCCUGCCAUGCAGGGCACCUCAUAUCUCAUUUAAUAUACAUUUCCUGUCAAACACUCACAAAGAGAUUCCAAGUUAACUGCUCCUUACUGAGUGGCUAGUCCGUGCCAGGCAUUGCACUAGCAACUCCCCUGGACUUUAUCUUCCAUAACUCUGACAACAGAUCCUCAGUGGUGGUCAUUGGCAUAACCACAGUGUAAAGAUGAGGAAACCAAGGCCCACAAAGGUUAAUUACUCUGUCCCAAACUGCACAGCUAUAAAUUCAAGACUAUCCCCGUCUGCCAACCACUCCUCCUCUUCUCUAAUAAAAUGAAUGAGACGAAACAGCCACUGGAAUAAUUUGGGGUUCACAUAAGCAGAAUUUCCCAAGAGCCAAUGAUGUUAAGCCUUAGAACAUAAGGAAGGGCCUUGUGGAAUCUCACCAGGCAGAUUCUGAAAUGGUCUAUCCUGCUUUUCCAUGGUGGACACCAACUUUUGAGUUGAACAACUCAGUUAGUUGUUUGAACUAACUCCAAGUUAGUAUUUGAAAAUUCUAAACAUCCCGAGCCCAUUUGACAGGUUAUAGCCAGGAUAAGAAUUUGGGGCUUCUUUGUCUCAUUGGCCAUUGUAGCCAAGCAAAAAUGCCCCCCAAAUAUUCAGUGGACAGUUGCACUGCAUCCGACUACUCUGGACCUGAAGGCCAUGCAAGAGAAGUUUAAAAGAAGGCUGAAUCGCGGAGUCCUGCCCAGUUCUUCCACUUCACGCUUGCUUUCUCUCCCUCUCUCUGAUGUUAAGGGCUGAUUUCCCUAAGGUUCUCUUUUCACCUUUUAACCAUGUGUCUGUCACCUUGGCUUGUUAAUGGCUUUGGGGCAUUCUGUGGCGCAGUAUAUCACUACGCAGUUCCACAGAGACUCCUGCCAUCCUUUCUCCUUGGUAAGGGGUUGCUUACAACUUGUAAAUUAGCACAUAGCCACAGUUAAGUGUCUACUGAAGAACUUUCCAAACAGUCUGGAAGCAUGGGUUCCAAUGAGGGAUAGCAGUAGGAUGCUUCCAGGGCAGGAACAGAAUCAGCUCGCAGCCCAGAGUUGAGCCCAAUCCCAAGAGCACCAUUUGAAGAGAUCAUCCUUCCAGGUGAGGUCACUCAGCACAUGGAACACUGGGAGAGGACACAUCCACCCGGAAGAAAACAGAAGGAAAAUAAAUGCUAGGCAUUUUUCCUCAGGAGUCCUGGCUGGAUACUUCUUCUUUUAUGCUGAAGUCUCAAGUAUCAGUUUGUUCAGAAACCUUUCUGCUCCACUUUUGGAUUUAUGCUCAGAGCAUUUUUUUUUUCUCAGAGAAUAUGGAUUGCUGAAUUUCACAGAACCCAAAGCCCCCACACCUCCUUGCCCUGUGGGUACAGGAAGGACCUAAUGGAGUCCUGAACUCCUCACGCCAUCCUGGAAAAUACAGGCUGGUUUUGCACAGGCUUCAAUGAUUACAAGGUGAUUUCCCAGGCUUUGGGGCCCAGGCCCUAACAUUAACUGGCCCAACAACAAGAGACAUUCAAAGUUGGACUGGGCUGCCUUGUGAGGGGUGAGCUUCUCACCACUGGGAAGGUGUUGUGGAGAGAGACAGUGGACGUCCUGUUUUGAAAGGGUUUUGAAAGAGGGAAUUUCUGGAUUGGGUGAGCAGCCCAAUUCUACAAAUUUUCCUAAGGUUGCCAUUCCUGUAGAGAAUAGGACGGCGGCAUGGUUGCCACAGGCCACUUGCUCGAAGUCAUUUGAUUGGUUUGUAUUAAUGUUUCGUGGUCAAAAGAAAGAUUUAAACACCACUGGCCUAAGGCU
rnacentral:lncRNA from 1 species